AGUCAUAUGCUUGUCUCAAAGAUUAAGCCAUGCAUGUCUCAGUAUAAGCUUAUAUACGGCGAAACUGAGAAUGGCUCAUUAAAACAGUUAUAGUUUAUUUGAUGGUCAUUCAUUACAUGGAUAACCGUGGUAAUUCUAGAGCUAAUACAUGCGCUCAAACCCAACUUUGUGGAAGGGUUGUGUCUAUUAGAUACAGAACUAACACAGUCUCCGUCCUGGUCUUUUGGUGAUUCAUAAUAACCGAACGGAUUGCAUGGCUCCAGCUGGCGAUAAAUCAUUCAAGUUUCUGCCCUAUCAGCCUCCGACGGUAGGGUAUUGGCCUACAUGUGGCAAUGACGCGUAACGAAGAAUUAGGAUUUGAUUCUGUAGAGGGAGCAAGCGAAACGCAAACCACAUUUAAGGAAGACAGCAGGCGCUCAAAUUACCCAAUCUUUACACAUAGAGGUAGUGCCAAGAAAUAACAAUACAGGGCAUACAUAUCCAGUAACAGGAAUGAGUAGACUAUAAAUCCCUUUACGAAUACCGGGGGUAGUGCAAGUCU
rnacentral:rRNA from 1 species